rnacentral:rRNA from 1 species
CCUACGGGUGGCAGCAGUGAGGAAUAUUGGUCAAUGGACGAGAGUCUGAACCAGCCAAGUCGCGUGAAGGAUGACUGCCCUCUGGGUUGUCAACUUCUUUUAUAAAGGAAUACAACGAGGCACGUGUGCCUUUUUGCAUGUACUUUAUGAAUAAGGAUCGGCUACCUCCGUGCCAGCAGCCGCGGUAAUACGGAGGAUCCGAGCGUUAUCCGGAUUUAUUGGGUUUAAAGGGAGCGUAGAUGGGUUGUUAAGUCAGUUGUGAAAGUUUGCGGCUCAACCGUAAAAUUGCAAUUGAUACUGGUAGUCUUGAGUACAGUUGAGGUAGGCGGAAUUCGUGGUGUAGCGGUGAAAUGCUUAGAUAUCACGAAGAACCCCGAUUGCGAAGGCAGCUUACCAAUCUAUAUCUGACGUUGAGGCACGAAAGCGUGGGGAGCAAACAGGAUUAGAUACCCUGGUAGUC